UUUAAUUUUCAAAGUAUUGAUGUUAUAAACGUGUGCAGGUUCUUCCGUCAAUUUCUAAUCCUUUUCCUGAUAAAUCAAGUAUCUGUUGCAUCUUUCCGGCUGAUAGCUUCCAUCUUUCCAAAUCAUUCAAGUGCUACAUUUUGUAGCCUAUUUUACUUGGUGGCAAUGUUUUUAUUUUGUGGGUUUGUAAUUCCACGACGUAUGUGAGCUCGUUGUUAAC
rnacentral:lncRNA from 1 species